AGAUAAAGGACAAGAUUUUAUUUGUUAUUAUUAAUAUUUCAGCUUCAAAUAUGGAUGUGAAAGUAAAAGAAUUUACUGAUGUCUUGAAAGAGCAGUACUAUCCAUGGUUUGCUCAGUAUAUGGUGAUGAAAAGAGCAAGCAUUGAGCCAAAUUUUCAUGAGCUGUACUUGGAAGUUCUUGGAGAAAGUUAAUUCAAGAUUGCUGAAUAAGGAGAUUGUCAAAGCUACUUAUGAGAAUUGCAAGGUGCCUUAGCAAAACUUUUUUGUUACCCCUGGUUGUCGUUGUCAUCACACACAUUUUCCAAUCUCCCAUAGACACGGACGAAUGAGGUCCAGCUAGAGCUUCUACAAGGGACCUUCAAGUGCCUGGAAUGUAGUUUUGUCAUCAGGAAUGUCGAAUAACAAUUCAAAUACAUUGAGGGAAUUGAUUAUUUGAAGUAUGAUAACUGCUGGAAUGGUGGUACUAGGCCAACAAUUUGG